UAGGCUAAUGAGCAUUAAAGCACAUGUGUAGAUGCACCCACUGAGUACUUGUGAGAAGUAAAGUCUGAAUUCAAAAUAAUUUACCCUGGUUACUUAAUUCUAAAAAUCAGGUUAAUCCAGUCAGGUCAUUCCAUUGGCAUCAGCAAGGUCUAGAACAGGUUUUAGGAACUGAUGCUUCUUUUCAAAACAAGGAUCUGCAAGCUUGUCUCUGUUAAUUUACUCAACAAAUACCCAGCUCUGAUAUUCAUGUUGUCUCUUUCCACAUAGAGCAACGCAAAGUACUCUUUUGAUGGUAAGUGCUAAAAAAACCCAACAACGACAACAACAACUUUGUUCUUCUCCAUAUCUCUGGUUCAUAUCCUAUAUCCUACCCAGUCCAGAGAGACGAAGAAUAUCUCUCUGAAGUUCUCAGUAGCACAUUAUAUCAUACAGCUCUAGUAAAUCUACCUUAGGCCCAUGGACUUUGUCAGAGCUUACAAAUGUAACAGGGUCAAUCUUUGUGAAUGGAAAGUUCCAAGAAAGACCUGUAUGCUACAGGAGAUACAGACUCUGUUGAUAGCAUCCCCUUUCAGUCGUUAAUGAUUCAAUACCCCUACCAUGUAACUAGCUGGAAAACAGUACGUCUUUUCUGUGAAAAAGAAAAAAAUACAUACUUAGGAUUUUUCUGCAUGUUUUCUGAUUUUCAAACAAUCGAUCAUCAAAAGCCCAGAAGAUUUCAAAACAAUUUUUUUUUUUUUACAAAAAUGUUUAUUUACAGGACAAAGAGCUUAUAUUCAGUCAGAAAUUUUUGAUGGGAUGGGAAGAUUUUGACUAGCUCUACUCAGCAGAAUGGUGGUAAAAUUUAACUGCAGUAGAAAUCACAAUCUAGUCCAAAGUGAAUCUUAUUUCUUGAUACAUUUCUUUUACCAUCUAAUGUUUGUUUGUUUUAGACCCCUCCCCAUAUCUUCCAUUUUCAUGGAAAUAGACUGAGAAGGUCAAGCAGCAAGUGCAGAGUGUAAAAUCAAGGGAAAAGAUGUGGUGAGUGAAGGGAUGACCAUGCUAGAGGUUGGUCCACAUAUUUCCAGAAGUAACAGAGAUCUGAGAAAGUCAGAAAAAACUGAAACAAAGAAGUUAAAUUCAUUGUUUUCAAAAAGAUAUACUCAUUGUGUGCAUCUUCUACAGUACUCAACUCUCCCCAAUUGCCCACAGCCAGAUACGUUUCCUGCAGCUCAUAAUACUUUCAAAAACAAAUGCUAAGAAUCAACAUGAAUGCAGCAAAAAAAUCCAUGUUAUUUGGAUUCUCCCUUCUACUCAAAUAUGUGGGAUUACUUGUUUGAUAGUGUUUAAAUAAUAUUCAAGUCACUAAUGAUUGAUUUGACUAGACAGUAGGUGUAUGCUUGUAAGCUGAUGACUUCCAUUUAAUGUGUGUUUUAGGGUAAUCAAAUAAAUGAUUAAAAUAGAUACAGUCAAUGCAGUAGUGGUUCAUUUCAUUGAGUAAAUAUAUAGUAGUACAUGUUUGUUUAUGGAUAACUGCAGUAGAUGAAGGAAGCUGUAUAACGUGAUGACAUAUAGUUUGGCAUAUCACGAAGAAAAUAGUUUGAAAACUCAGUGCAAAGCUUGAUCAUAACCUGUUUAUGCCCUUAUCCAGUUUAUCCCAUCAAAGGAUAUCAAAUGGGAACCACUAGCACUUAGGCAGACUCCAGUCCCAGUCUUUAAUUCAAUUGCUACAGACCAGUCAGAGAGCCAUUCCUAAUACCGGCAAUAACUAAAGUGGUAAUACCAAAAUACUAUUAAAAAGACCAUCCAUACCAGGGGUGUCAAACUCAUUUGCCCCUGGGGGCUGGACGAGCAUACUUGAGUUGAUCUGCAGGCUGGACUGGGAACAACUCCAUGCAGAGCACCUGUCGCGCUCAGUCCUGCCCACACACAGCAUGCAGCAUGCAGGGCUAGGGCCGAUCCAGCAACCUACAGGCCUGAUCAUAUGGCUUCACAUGGAUCUGGCUCAUGGGCCAUAUGUUUGACACCCUUGGUCUACACCUUAUUUAAACCUAGGCAAAACCUGGGUUAUCAGAGAUCAAAUGAGGAUGGCUUUUUUGUGAUUUCCAGACCCAUGAAGUUCACAUAAUGCACACAAACUUUGAAUAGAUAGACACAUUGAACUUCUAAACUGGCUGGAAUUCCCUGCCACAGGAUUAACAUAGUUGGGAAAUGGAUAUUUUUGAAUGCCAUGUUAAAGUGACGAUUGUAAUGGUGGGUCCUGGAUAAAGCAAGGCACAGCAGUGUCCUUCAGAAAUAUUCAGGAUGCAGGCUGUUUGAUGGUUAGGGAACAGCCAGAGUAUGGUAAUAAAUGGUUUUUUUCCCUUCUCUUUCUGCCCCACAAAAGCUCAUAA